rnacentral:lncRNA from 10 species
AGCAGUCAAGCCAUUGGGUCCCAGGCUUUUCUUUACUGGGAACAUUUUUAUUUCAGCUUCAAUUUCUUCACUUGUUAGUCUGUUCAGGCUUUGGAUUUCUUCCUGGUUCAAUCUCGGUCAGUCAAAACUGAAGAUCAGCUUUUGAUCAUGAGGAGAUUAGGUCACAGAUGUUCAAUAAGGAAAGACCAUGUGAAGACACAAGAAGAUGGUCAUCUGCAAGCCAAGAGAAAUGUCUCAAAAGGAACUGGCCCUGCUGACAUCUUGACCUUGAAUUUCCAGCCUCAGGUUCUUGGAUGCUUGAUGGAAUUAAGGAUUUGAGAACAUGAGAACAAACAGGAAUAUGCAGGAAAUCUUGAGGACACAGGAGAUGAAGUCAACCUGUGGCCAAGGGAGAGGGAGGGACAUGAGAAGCUUUGUGAAAGAUGUCAGCGCAAACCUCAGGCAAGUGCCACCCAACCUAGAGCUGUGGAUUGAAGUUUGGCGUUGGGGUGUCAGCCUGUGAUUUCCUGAUCUCCAACUCCACUCCUCUUAAGUCACCCAGCCUAAGGCACUGAACCUCAUCAUCAGAACCUCAGAGUCCAACAUCUUGACCAUAGCCUUGCAACCCCACUGUUAGGUGAGUUUCAAGUUCUCACUCCCCAUAAACUUCUUCAGACCACUGCUCCCUCGAAUGACUUUGUUUCCUCCCAGGUCAUCAGUUUCCUUAGUCAAUUUCCAAGUCCUAUCAGUUGUAGACACUACGAUUGGUCAUCCCAUCUGAGUGACUAUUUCACUUAAACUUGCCUUUCCUCCUCUGUUUGCAAUAACUCUCAUACAUAGCUCUAGCUUAACAUCCACGUUGCCUUCUCUAUUCUUACCUCCAGGACAGCAGAACACUAAACAUUAAGUUCUUCAAUGCUAAAAAACAUCCUGUAAUCACGAAAAUCAGCCCAGUACAAAUUCAUGCUCACUACACGUGGUUCUCAGCUGCUGUGGGGCCUCUCUCUUCCCUUCAGUAUCCACAGACUUGCAACGUUCUUCUCAGCCUUCCUUCGCACCACUAAAUUAUCUCAUUAAGUCAGGA